rnacentral:lncRNA from 1 species
GGCUCGCCCGAGUGGACACCCCGUGUGCCGCGACGGGCUGAUGGCCCAGGAGAGGACAGCCAGCGGAGGCCUGGAGCUGGUGGCCUGUGGGAGGGGCUGCAGAGAGCACUGUGCCAACUAGGCAGGGCAGAGUGCGGGGCCGUGGCUGCUCCCCUGGCCCAGCCCAGCCUUGAAUGUGGCUCCUGAUCCUCCAUGCCCACAGCCCUGGGCGGCGGCCGUGGGGAAGGGCAGGGCAGUACCUUCCCAUGCCACUGCAGCCCCUGGCCACACAGUGGGCUGUGCAGAGUGACUGGAGUAUGCUCCCUCGGGUUCUGGAGGUGGGCAUCUGAGUCCCAGCUGUCCCGGCCUCUGCCUCCCGAGGCUCCCGGAGGCCCGCCUGCCUCUCCCGGCUCCUGCUAGCUCCCGAGGGCUCCACCUAGCGGGUGGCCCAUCGUGCACGUCUUCAGGCAGCGUCUCUAGAUCUCCCCACUCUGUCCUCACCUCCCCUUCUCCUCCAUGAGUUAACCACAGUCUAGUCCCUUCUAGAUUGCGAUCACACCUGCCACCCCCCAGCCAGACCCAGCCCAACUGGGGCCCCUAACCCUUCCUUCCUGUCCUUCUGUGGCUGCUUGUGCACCUGGUUUCUCCUCUUCUCAGGACUCGAUGAUCUACUGACUCAGGUCCACCUCCUGUGUCCAGGGGGCCGUGUCCAGGCUGCCCCAGAACUUGGCCCUGUUCC